UUUGCCAUCUAACAAACUAAACAAAUAUUCCAACAAAAAGGAACGAGAUGAGAAUGUCGUGCUAACCUACGCAAUUCCAGCACCUUAUCUCUUGUUGGGAUCAUCUAAUCCGUCUUCUUCCUGCAUCUUCCUCAAAUCCUCUUAGGUUCUUUCCUCUCCUUUCUACACAAAUUGAUCACCCAUGUUGUUCGCCAGAAAAUGAUAAUGAAGAGUAUGCUACGUAUGUCGUAACCUUGCGAGGGGAAAUGUUACAGGUGGACCCAAAAUGGAGCUCGUUGAGCUUUGGGGACGCAGGAAUCACCAGUACAUUUAUUCGAUGAGAGUGGCCAUCCAUUGAUAUACCUCUUAUCAUGAAGUAUUUGCUGUUCCAAAAGGUUACAAUGCCUCCCAACAGGUGCACAUUUCUCAGGGUGACUUUGAAGAUCUCUCUCUUUGGUCUAUACGGAUUAAGAAAUCCGGCAACUGCGCGAGGCACGCCGGAAGAAUUACCUUUCAUCAACCAACAUACAUAAGAAACUCACUGGAAAGCAAACCAACUGCACAUUGGUCGAUAAGGAGGCACAACUUUUGCGAUACGGACAUAUCUCAUAUUUCCCUUUCCCUUUCAUCUUUUUCUAUUCUUUUGUUUCCUCUUUUAAAACCCACAAAGAUGUCACAAUCUUUCCUCAAAGGUAUAAAUAUCCAUUAAAUGUUUCAUUGUGGGCGUUGGUCUAAGACCGUUGAGUGAUUAUAGUUUUUAUUUUGGUUUCCUGGAUUGAUGUCAUUUUUUAUGUUGAAGCUUGUUUUUUGUA